GAUGAAGAACGUAGCAAAAUGCGACACUUGGUGUGAAUUGCAGAAUCCCGUGAACCAUCGAGUUUUUGAACGCAAGUUGCGCCCGAAGCCUUUUGGCCGAGGGCACGUCUGCCUGGGCGUCACGCAUCACGUCGCCCCCCACAAUUCUCCGUAAAGGGAACGUGUGUUUUGGGGGCGGAUAUUGGUCUCCCGUGCUCAUGGCGUGGUUGGCCGAAAUAGGAGUCCUUUCGAUGGACGCACGAACUAGUGGUGGUCGUAAAAACCCUCGUCUUUUGUUUCGUGCUGUUGCUCGCAAGGUAAACUCUUUAAAAACCCCAACGUGUCGUCUCUUGACGACGCUUCGACCGCGACCCCAGGUCAGGCGGGACUACCCGCUGAGUUUAAGCAUAUCAAUAAGCGGAGGA
rnacentral:misc_RNA from 1 species